rnacentral:lncRNA from 1 species
GCCUUGCUGGUUUCUCGGCUCCUUCCUGCGAUGGAGACCAGUUGGAAUCCCAUGGGUCCGCAAAGAGGAAACAGAGGAAAGGAUACACCUAGAAGAGGGAAGUACUACUGGUGGUCAUCCCGUGUCCUAAAGGAACCUGUGAAGAAAAUGGAGAAGGCAGCGCAUGGUGGGACUAAAGGGACUGACCAAGAGACUGUGCAGAAGGAGCCAUUGCAGGAAAGCAGCAGUGACACACGGCCAGUCUCUGAUAGAAAAACACAGGCAGAACAAGCAGCUGGAUUGCCAGGGGUGGAUGUUGGGAAAAUCACAACGGCCGCUGUUGGCGAAGAGCUGCGAAAACACCACAUCCCAGUGAUUGCUGUGGUCUCCGCUGUGCUGCUGUCCGUGCUGAUGCUGGCCUGUGUUCCUAUGCUGUGGAUGUGGAAAAAAUAUCUGUGAGUUAG